rnacentral:rRNA from 1 species
GAUUAAGCCAUGCAUGUGUAAGUAUAAAUAAUUCUACUUUGAAACUGCGAAUGGCUCAUUAUAUCAGUUAUAGUUUAUUAGAAAAAAUGUACUACUUGGAUAACCGUAGUAAUUCUAGGGCUAAUACAUGAAGGAACCCUCGACUUUGAAGAGGUGUGUUUAUUAGUAUGAAAACCAUAUGCUUCGGCAUGAUAGUGAGUAAUAAUAACCUUUCGUAUCGUAUGUUGAAAUAACGAUAGUUCUUUCAAGUUUCUGCCCUAUCAGCUUUCGAUGGUAGUGUAUUGGACUACCAUG